GCGGUUGUUUUUUACCCAGGCCUCGGCGCCUAGGCGCUCUGCCGAGGCUGAUCUUCGCUGAAGUGUGAGCCGCGGUUGAGCCCAGGGCUCGAGGCGCGAGGCAGCCAGGAGGGCCCGUGCGGCGCGGGGAGCCAGCGAGCGCGCCUUCGGCAUUGGCCGCCGCGAUGUCAGCUCAGUGCUGUGCGGGCCAGUGGCCUUUUCAGAGUUGAGGAAAUUGAGGCUUUUGACGACUGAGAUGAAAUGAUUUUUUUUCCCUGAGUCAGGCAGAGAGAGAAAGAGAAUGAGAAUGGUAACCACCUUACCAGG
rnacentral:lncRNA from 1 species